UUCACAUCGCCGGUUGUUUCGUUUGGUCAUUAUGCUCAAGGCAUUUGCGUUGUGUUGUAGGGCGACGGGUUGUGUGCUGCUCCCUGUGUGCGCUACUGUGGUUGUUGUGUGUCAUAUCUCUUUGCGUUAUGGUCGGGGCUACUAGGUGGCUAAUGCUAGCGUGGUCACAGGUAAAUGCUGGCGGCUGCCUGGAGCCCUUUUUCCCCUCCCUUCUCUCGUGAGUGUCUGUUGCUGCUAAAAAGGUAUGCAAGUAUAUUGUAAAAUGCAUCCGCAUUAUUUAGUUAAAGUGACUUGACUGCUGCUUUUAAAAGUGGACACCAACGUUUUACUGUUUCGUUUACAGCACGCACAUAGUGGGCAUUAGUGGUACUGCACUAGAUUGGUUCAGGUCAUUUCUGGCAGAUAGAACUGUGUAAGGCUUGCUGGUUCAGAAUCCUCAUCUGCUCCCCUGUCAUGUGGGUCACCCGGGGCUCAGUUUUAGGACCCCUGCUUUUUUGCUUUUAUUUACUUCCCUUUGUUUCCAUUCUUAGGAAACAUGGUCUCUUCUUCCACUGUUACACCGAUGACUGCCAGAUUUAUGUAUCCCUAAAGCGGAAGGAGGCCUCCUCUCAAUUCACUUCUUGAGUCUCUUGAUGAGAUCAAAGUAUGGAUGGCCCUGAACUUUUUACAUUUUAAUGAAAGGAAGAGGUGUUUGGACCCAAUGGCUCCAGUGAGUCCCUUUCUGUUGACCUGGGCCCUUUGACACAGCAUGUAAAGCCUAUAGUCACAAAUCUGGGUUUUAAAAUGGACUGUCAAAUUUGUGCAGUGGUGAAGUCCAUCUUUUUUCAUUUAAGAAAGUUAAAGGUUAAAGUUUCCUUUCAACACAGCACAUUGAGACUGCAAUCCAUGCCCUUUGAUUAUGUCUCGCCUCGAUUACUCUAACACACUUUAUUUUGGAGUCAGUCGACGUCCCUCUCACGUCUCCCACUCAGCCAAAAUGCUGCUGCGCAUCUUUUAACUGGAGAAAUUGCUGUAGGCUGGUGCUGGUGACCUGGUGGUGGCAUCCUCCUGUGCUGUCUUGCUGUGUCCCUGGGAGCGGGUUUUCUUCACUGAGUGUCUGCCACAUGUGCCCGGUGAUUUUGUUGUUUUUCUUUGGUGGAUCCCUCCCCUGCACUAGCCUUCGUCUAUCCACUUUGGCCUCAGCCCUGAUUAGGUUUUUCCCUUUUUUGUAUGAACAAGUUUUAUUGAUAUUUUAGAACUGGUGAAUAUUUAAUAAAAGGUGUAUUUUAACUUGGAA